rnacentral:misc_RNA from 1 species
GGUGCAUCCUUAAAGGGCCCUGAAUUUGCAACCAUUAUCAAUUCUGCAACAUCCAAGAAAGUUGCUGCUUGAUUAUGUAUACUGGCCUUGCAACUAAAACAAAUAAAGGGAAGAUAGAGAAUAAUUCAGUUUGAAGUGUACCAUGAUCAACAUAUGAGCUGGUCUUCUAGAUAGAGUUUUGAUUAUUAAUCAUUUCUUUUAAAACUUUCCGGAAGAAAUAAUCCUUUCACCUUCUGUGUGUAUUACAAAAA